rnacentral:lncRNA from 1 species
AUGUCUCAACCAGAAAGAGAAGCCCCUGCUGUGCGGCCGAGGAGACGAGUUAACCCUCCAGCCUACUUAGAAGACUUUGAGCUCAGUGGACCUGGGUCUCAGCAACAGCAAUCACGGUCACUUACCUGCCAGGGAGUACUGGAGAAUGAACCAAGUGCUACAGGUCAUUCUAGAUCCACUUCACCAGUGAGCCAAGCAUCAGAACAUUCUGAGUGGAUACUGACUGACCAAUGGGACUACACUUCUGAGAAGCUGAGAGAGGAGAAUGCAGCAUUGCAAAGGCAAGUGAAACAGCUGCCAGAGCUUACAGCCAUGUUAGAGAAGAUGAAGAGGGAGAACGCAGCCUUGAAACGACAAUCCAGCCAACUCCCUGAGAUCAUUUCAGCAUUCCAAGAGAUGCGUCAACAGAAUGCUGCGUUAUGGCAUGAGCUUCAAAGCUUGAAAUCAAAGCAGAGCUCUCCACCCGAGUCGGUCACUCCACAAAUGCCAUUACCACGCUCUCAUUCUCCAGGAGUUAACUUUCAGACUCCACAGCCAUACCGCCCAAUACCAGCUCCACGCUCUAGGUUGCCACCAUCUGCCACUAAGAGACUGCCACACCCAACUAUGCCAGAGGAAAGCUCAGAGCUGACUAAAGAUCUGAGAAACAUGAACAUUUCUUCCUCCCCUCGUGAGAGACCCUCCUUUACAGCACAUUAUAGUGACUCAGCUCAGUUCAGGUAUCCCAACACUUCCACAUAUUCCCAGCCACCUCAGCUGCCUGAGUCCGUGGUCCCAUCACAGGAAAGGAGGAGGUCAGCCCAUGCAGAAUACAGCUCAGAUCAUGUCUUACCCUCAAGUACCCAGGAGAAAAUCUACAGAGGACCAGCCCCUACCAUCCCCUGCCUAACGUCUUCUGAUCCUAGGGAGUUUUCAAGACUGAGAAUUGCAUUAGAGAAUAUCCUGCCUGAAGAUGCCACUGAACGUUUCAAAUUUCAAAUCCUCACAGACCAUCUGAAACUGGAGGAGGCCCUCCUUGUGGCAGACUCUUACAGCAAUUCCAGAUUUCCCUUCACCAACACUAUGAAAGCUCUGGAUAAGAUGUAUGGUCAACCCCACCAAUUAGCACUGCAACGAAUCGCUGAGCUGAUGGAUGGAGCUAAUAUACGCAGUGGAGAUGUAAAGGCCUUCAGGAUGUUCGGACUGCAGGUGCGUUCGCUUGUCAGUAUGUUGCAGCAGCUUGGCCACAAAGGUACUGUAGAGCUGGAAUGUGGAUCACAUGUGUCUCGACUCCUGAGUAAACUGCCACAUGACUUCAGAUCAAGUUUCAAGCGGUACACCCACCCUUUGCAAGUCUCUAUUCCUACUUUGCUGGACUUCGCUGAUUGGUUGGAAUAUGAGCUUCAAGUACAGGAAGACAAUAGCCAGUACGCUUGUUAUACAAGGCAGGAAUCUUCAGUGCAUGGCAGAGAGGUGAGAAGAGAGUCUAAGCAGCUUCACAGACCAACUACCAUUCUCCUUGGUACCGACAAGUCAUAUUCCACAUCAAUGUCGUCAGCCACGUCUAAACCAGCUUCAGUCAGAGAAGAGAAGGUGAGAGCUUAUUGUCCAUACUGUGAUAAUAAUAAACACUAUCUGAAUGGCUGUGACAACUUCAAGCUUCUUAGCAAAGACCUGAAAAUAGACUGGAUAAAGACAAAGAACCGAUGCUGGCGUUGUGGUCGUGGACAUCAAGCGGCUAACUGCACACUAAAGACUUUCUGCCCCACCUGCAACAAGAAGCACCUUAUGGUACUACAUGAUGUCAAUGACCAGGUCAAGCCAUCUCAGCCAAGUGCAGCUCCUUCCAGUGCAGUUUUAUAUGUUGACCGACCAACCUCCGGAAGUAAAGUACUGCUCAAAGUGACUAAGGUUCUGAUAAAGAAUGGCAACGUGGCAAUGGAAGCUUACGCCAUAUUAGACGAUGGAUCAGAGCGGACCAUCAUUCUGCAUGAUGCAGUGCAGAAAUUAAGACUUGUGGGGGAGCCAGAGGACCUUGUACUUCGUACAGUAAGACAGGAUACCCAGGUCAUUCACGGGGCGGCAGUGACUUUUACUGUGUCCCAAACUGUUAACCCCAGCAAAGCUUACAAGAUCCGUAAUGCCUUCACAGCCAAAGCACUCGGUCUGGCAGAACAUACACACCCAGUUAGUGUCCUGCAACAGAAAUUUAAGCAUCUUGCAGGGUUACCUCUACAACAGCUGGACAAGGUACAUCCUGUUCUUCUCAUUGGCUCUGAUUGCCCUCACCUCCUCACACCCAUAGAACCAGUCAGACUGGGACCCCCUGGUGGGCCAGCAGCAGUAAGAACACGUCUGGGAUGGACACUGCAGGGUCCAACUGAAGAAUUGAGCAGUCAUCUUUCCCCUGAUCAAUGCUUCUUCACCUCGCUGCGGCCUGUCAAUGAUCUUUAUGCAAAUGUGGAGAGACUGUGGCAAAUGGAUGUUCUACCCUACCAGAGUGAAAAGGUGAUUACCAGAUCACACCAAGACAAAGAGUCAAUUCAGCUUCUGCAAGAAAACACAGUGAGAGUGGAUGUUAAUGGUAUCCAGCGAUACGCUACUCCUCUGCUCCGUGUCAAGAACAUGCCUCGCCUCUGUGCUCCAAAGGAAGCAGUCCUGCCACAGUUGAGAGGAAUUGAGAAACGGCUGGAAAGGGACCCUGUUCUAACUGCAGCAUACCAAGUGGAGCUGGCCAGGUUAGUGCAAGCUGGUUACGUUGUCAAACUUAGUCAGGAGCAAGUGGACAAAACAAAGGAAGCCUGGUACAUUCCGCACCACAUGGUGCAGCAUAAUGGGAAGAACAGGGUGGUUUUUAACUGUUCAUUCUCAUAUCAAGGACACAACCUGAACGAGCUACUGUUACCUGGACCAACACUUGGUCCAUCUCUCCUGGCAGUCCUUCUGCGUUUCCGGGAGCACUCUGUUGCCAUCAGUAGUGACAUCCGCGGCAUGUUCCAUCAGGUACGCCUCUUGCCACAAGAUAAACCUCUGUUGAGAUACAUCUGGAGAGACAUGCAAAGAGACAGAACCCCAGAUGUCUAUGAAUGGCAGGUACUGCCUUUCGGGACCACUUGCAGUCCGUGUUGUGCAUCGUUUGCUUUACAGAAGCACGUUCUAGAUCACAGCCAGCCUGGAGAGGACACACAAGUUUCAGUGGAGAAGUCAUUCUAUGUGGACAAUUGCCUCCAGAGCUUCACUUCCCGUGACAUGGCCAAGAAUCUGGUAGACAAACUCUGUAACCUUCUAGCAUCUGGUGGCUUUGAGUUACGACAGUGGGCAAGCAAUGACCCUUCAGUUAUCAGCCAUCUGCCAGCGGACAUUCAGUCACCGAGUAGCAUCCUCUGGCUCAGCGAAGGCCACCAAGAAGCUCAGGAAUCAACACUUGGCCUGCACUGGAAUUGCCAAUCAGAUACCCUCUCUUACAAACGACGCAAACCAGACAAUGAAGUGCCCACAAUGCGAAGCAUCUACCAGAUCCUUGCCAGCCAGUAG